rnacentral:tRNA from 1 species
UGGGGUAUAGCCAAGUGGUAAGGCACCGGUUUUUGGUAUCGGCAUUCGGAGGUUCGAGUCCUCCUACCCCAG